GGUUCUUCCUCCUUCCCCGUGUGUCUCCCCCUCCUCUCCUGGCCCUUCUCCGCCUCCCCUGUCCCUUCUCCUCCCCGUCCCUUCUCCUCCCCGUCCCUUCUCCUCCCCGUCCCUUCUCCUCCCCGUCCCUUCUCCUCUUCCCUGACCCUCAGAGCUCUGGAGACUGCCCCCCAUCCCCUGACCAGCUACACAUUUUACAACUAGUGCACUUAAGUUGGGGAGGGGUCUGUUGUGCGUCGGUGGGGCCCACGUCCUCCUCCCAACUUCUUGGAAUCAGUGACCCGCGCUGUCCUGGCUGCCGGGCUUAAGCCCUCCGGGACCAAAGACACAAGCCAAAGACACAAGCUCGAGUUUCCUCUAAGAAAAGAAAGCGCCCAAGAAUGUGGGGGUGAAACUCCCCUGUAAUUAGGAUCGCCAGAAUGUUAUGGAACAGUUCAAUCCUGGGCUGCGAAAUUUAAUAAACCUGGGGAAAAAUUAUGAGAAAGCUGUAAACGCUAUGAUCCUGGCAGGAAAAGCCUACUACGAUGGAGUGGCCAAGAUCGGUGAGAUUGCCACUGGGUCCCCCGUGUCGACCGAACUGGG
rnacentral:sRNA from 1 species